CUUAAUUCAGUGAGCUUCCAACUUUUUGGGGGGUGGAGGUGAUGGAGUUUCGCUGUGUCCCCCAGGCUGGAGGGCAGUUGUGCGAUCUUGAUUCACUUCAACCUCUGCUCUCCGGGCUCAAGCAAUUCUCCCACCUCAGCCUGAGUCUCACUCUGUCCUUCAGGCUGUGAGUGCAGUCUCCUGAUCUUGGCUCACUGCAACCUCUGUCUCCUGGGUUCAAGUGAUUCUUG
rnacentral:lncRNA from 10 species